rnacentral:rRNA from 1 species
GGGUUGUGAGGUUAAGCGACUAAGCGUACACGGUGGAUGCCCUGGCAGUCAGAGGCGAUGAAGGGCGUGCUAAUCUGCGAUAAGCGCCGGUAAGGUGAUAUGAACCGUUAUAACCGGCGAUACCCGAAUGGGGAAACCCAGUGUGAUUCGUCACACUAUCAUUAACUGAAUCCAUAGGUUAAUGAGGCGAACCGGGGGAACUGAAACAUCUAAGUACCCCGAGGAAAAGAAAUCAACCGAGAUUCCCCCAGUAGCGGCGAGCGAACGGGGAGGAGCCCAGAGCCUGAAUCAGCAUGUGUGUUAGUGGAAGCGUCUGGAAAGGCGCGCGAUACAGGGUGACAGCCCCGUACACAAAAGCGCAUGUGCUGUGAGCUCGAUGAGUAGGGCGGGACACGUGGUAUCCUGUCUGAAUAUGGGGGGACCAUCCUCCAAGGCUAAAUACUCCUGACUGACCGAUAGUGAACCAGUACCGUGAGGGAAAGGCGAAAAGAACCCCGGCGAGGGGAGUGAAAAAGAACCUGAAACCGUGUACGUACAAGCAGUGGGAGCACCCUUUUGGGUGUGACUGCGUACCUUUUGUAUAAUGGGUCAGCGACUUAUAUUCUGUAGCAAGGUUAACCGAAUAGGGGAGCCGUAGGGAAACCGAGUCUUAACCGGGCGUUAAGUUGCAGGGUAUAGACCCGAAACCCGGUGAUCUAGCCAUGGGCAGGUUGAAGGUUGGGUAACACUAACUGGAGGACCGAACCGACUAAUGUUGAAAAAUUAGCGGAUGACCUGUGGCUGGGGGUGAAAGGCCAAUCAAACCGGGAGAUAGCUGGUUCUCCCCGAAAGCUAUUUAGGUAGCGCCUCGUGAAUUCAUCUCCGGGGGUAGAGCACUGUUUCGGCUAGGGGGCCAUCCCGGCUUACCAACCCGAUGCAAACUGCGAAUACCGGAGAAUGUUAUCACGGGAGACACACGGCGGGUGCUAACGUCCGUCGUGAAGAGGGAAACAACCCAGACCGCCAGCUAAGGUCCCAAAGUCAUGGUUAAGUGGGAAACGAUGUGGGAAGGCCCA